rnacentral:rRNA from 1 species
GUCCUUUAGAGUUUUAUUUAAGGUCUAACCUGCCCACUGAUUAAGUUAAAUGGCCGCAGUAAUUUGACUGUGCAAAGGUAGCAUAAUCAUUAGUUUUUUAAUUAAAAGCUUGUAUGAAAGGUUGGACGAGGUAAAAUCUGUCUCUAUUUAAUUUAAUUUAGAAUUUAACUUUUAAGUUAAAAGGCUUAAAUAUUAUUAAAAGACGAGAAGACCCUAUAGAUCUUUAUAAUUUAUUUAUUAAGUUUAAUUAAGAAUUUUUUAAAUUUUAUUAAUAUAAUUAUUUUAUUGGGGUAAUAUAAAGAUUAAAAUAAUUCUUUUUUUUUAUUAACAUUAAUUUAUGAUUUUUAUGAUCCAGUUUUAUUGAUUAUAAGAUUAAGUUACCUUAGGGAUAACAGCGUAAUUUUUUUAAAGAGUUCUUAUCGAUAAAAAAGUUUGCGACCUCGAUGUUGGAUUAAAGAUUAUUUCAGGUGUAGAAGUUUGAAAAUUUUGGUCUGUUCGACCAUUAAAUCUUUACAUGAUCUGAGUUCAGACCGGUGUAAGCCAGGUCGGUUUCUAUCUUUAGUAAGUUAAAAUAUUUUAGUACGAAAGGACCAAUUAUUUGAUAUAUAUAUAUUAUAAAUUUUUGAUUAUUAUUAA